GUAGCUCAGUGGAAAACGGUGUCUGCUUCUGCUGCUGUGUUUUGCUUGUGGCUUAGAGGGCAGCCUUUGAGCGUAGAGAAUUUCUCUCUGCUACGACCUAGAAGAGACUGGAUAGACCCUGUUUUUGUAACUUAUCCACAUUUGUAUCUUAUGUAAUAUAGUUAUGUGGGGAGGUGGCUUAAGAAAAAGACGUGGGAGGAAGACUCAUUCCCAUUGACAGAACUUGUCAGACUGCACAAUAAGAAACGGGCAAGUUAUUGAUGUUUGUCCAAAAGAGACUUUGUUCCACUUCCUGGGUUCUGGUAUGCAUGAGAUCGCUAUUCCUCUGCGGACGAUCGAAGCCUGGACAAACCUGAACGGAGCUAUUCGAAAGGAAAUCAUUUUUAACCAUCUUUCCAUUCCUCACAACUCGGAGUGCCUUUGUGCUGAGAUCAGGCCCAGAUGAGGCUACUUUAUUUGUUGCUUUCAGAGAAAUUACUCAAGGUCUGAAUUCAGCUGUUCCGGCUCUGCUUCUAACGUGCAAUCGCGCUGGACUGUCCUGGAGUUGGAAAGCGGAUCCGUUUAGCUCCCCUGGUGCUGACCCGUGUGACCAGCCUCACGCUUCCCAA